rnacentral:lncRNA from 1 species
CUUCUCAGUAUUGUUUGGUAUUGUCUCAUUUAUAUGAAGGAUAUAAAGGCAUUUCCUUUAAAAAUACAAACAAAAUUAUUGCAUUACCUGUUAGUGAUCAAAUUUUCUAAUACAUAACAGGGCCACAGUAUCAUCCUUUUCUAAAAGGCUCACUUGUAUAUUUAAUUUCUUCCCAAUUUAAAAUCCUUUAAGCCAAGUGCCCUGGAUUCAUUCCUCUUUUCCCUAUUGAUGCAUCAAGAACAAAAUUAAACAAAUAAAUAAAAUGUGGACAAAGCAAUCGAUGGUGCUGGUGAGAAUGUCACUAAAAUAAUUCACCAUGAGAUAUAGGCUGAGUGAACAGUGAAGGGCAGUAGAGCCAGAGAGGUGAUGACUUCACCCAACCCCCCUCAGUAUUGACUUCUCCAUAUCUUACCCAGCAAUAUGUUAACUGGGAGUGAAGGGAGCAAGUGCAAGAGGGAAGCAGGAUGGAAAAUGUGGUCUGAGAAUGUUACAUAGGCAUUUCAGGGAGAACAGUCCUGUGUGGUAAAAAGAUCUUACACGUAGUUAGCUCAGUGGAUCACUGAAGUGAGAAUAGAUCUCAUUUAAUCCGAUGGAAUCCCAGAGCAAUGCUUCUAUCUGGGUAUCAUAAGUCAUCAACUGUGAACAAACCCAGGAGCUCAGGUGCCAAAGACCUUGUGAGGUGGACUAAAUUCAUGUGCUUAAAGCAAAUGAAGCUAGCAAUGGUAAGGAGUCUGAAAGCAGGUGAGCUCAGUGAUCACUGAGAAGGGACACAUCUGUAAAUUCCCUCAGAUUUUUAAAUGGAACAUGAAACAAGAGAAAAACGGCAGCCUAUUCCAACUUCCAAAAGUACUACCAUCCACUGAAACAGAACCACAGAGAAGUGACUCCAC